AUACUCGCCCUGUGCCGGGGUCUCGUUGAUCACCGAGGACGAGUCCCCAGAGUAAGGCGUAAACAUUGCACUGCGCCCGCGUUGACCCCUGCCACUGCCCCAAACUGGGGCAGAUGGGGCAUGCGAAUUGC
rnacentral:snRNA from 1 species